AAAGAAAAAGAAAGGAGAGAAGGUUAGCACUCUCCUUGACAAAGAUAGAAGAGGCCCUUGGGCUUAACAAGACGCAUACAGUUAAGGCAUUGUCAUCUACUUUGUGGCAUCUAACCACUGUUUUAG